UACGUAGGGACCAAGCGUUGUUCGGAUUUACUGGGCGUAAAGGGCGCGUAGGCGGCGUGUUAAGUCAGCUGUGAAAUCUCCAAGCUUAACUUGGAACGGUCAGCCGAUACUGAUGUGCUAGAGUGCAGAAGGGGCAAUCGGAAUUCUUGGUGUAGCGGUGAAAUGCGUAGAUAUCAAGAGGAACACCUGAGGUGAAGACGGGUUGCUGGGCUGACACUGACGCUGAGGCGCGAAAGCUAGGGUAGCAAACGGG
rnacentral:rRNA from 1 species